GUGUGACUCUGGGGGCUGUGUCAGUGACCUGCAAAGGAGAGCGGUGGGAAAUAGGAAGAUGAUGAAGCAGCAUCUUUAGGAAGACGGGGAUGGGGCUAGUCUUCCCCUUAGCGCAGGCAGAGGAUGCUGCUGGGGGUGCAGAAUCCCUGUCGCUGGUGCUGUCAGCGUGUGCCAGGCAGUGCCACGAGGGUCCCUCUGCUCCGUCCUCCGGGCACUGCGAUCCUCAGGUGGAGACAGGACCUGUAGUUCAUUAUAGCAGAUCUGCAUUUGCAGGUGGCACCAGGCUUCUGUGGCAGAGCUGGGUCUGAGUCGCGGCGUGGAGGGGAACCCACGCAGCCCAGGUUGGUACUAAGAAGUGCCUUUCCUGACGUCGCUGCUGCUUGGGACCGCUUCUAGAGCAGCCGCUGCUUUUGCCUUGCUUGCUGCCAGCUAGACUGCGACGACAGCGCUCCGCCGCUGCCAGCCCCGCGCCCGCCGGGAGGAGGGUCCGGCGCUGCUCCCCCGCCGCCGCUGCACUGUGCACUAAAGUGUGCCGCGAAGGUCAGAGCUCUGCUGCCCGAAAGCCAAGGAGAGGAGGAGAAAAAGCCCCAGCCUAAAGCCGGUGCCGGUCGUUGCUCUAAACUGCUGCAUCUGUCUAUGCCAAACUAAUCGAUCCCGAUUGCACCGCAGAGCCCGCUGCGAGCCCGCUGCCUGGAGCCACCUGCCAGCCGCCGUCCCCGGGAGCAGCUCGGGAAUUGCUGCCGGAGCCCGCCACGUUCCCAUGCUUGCGGCGGCCGCACUCAGGACGGGAUGCUGAGCUAGUCCCGGCCCCGCUCCGCAGGCGCACCCGGCUGGCGGCCCGGCCUUGCCCAGCCCCGCUAACGGGGCCACGCUCCCGACUCUGGUGACACAGCUCUUCCUCGAGAUUGCAGCCACCCGUUUUACACGUACUUAUUUUAAAAUAGGGAGCGGGGGAAAAAAAGUGUUCUGGAGGUGGCACUUUCAUAAUUUCCAGUUUAUCAGUUUGGCUACUCGUUUGCCCAUUUUUAUUGGAAAUUUUAACUACCUGUAAAAUCUAAAGAUGGCUGUUAGCGUCACACCGAUCCGGGACACAAAAUGGCUAACGCUGGAAGUGUGUAGGGAGUUCCAAAGGGGGACUUGCUCACGACCAGACACGGAAUGUAAAUUUGCACACCCGUCGAAAAGCUGCCAAGUUGAAAACGGACGCGUAAUCGCCUGCUUUGACUCAUUGAAAGGCCGAUGUUCAAGGGAAAACUGCAAAUAUCUUCACCCACCACCACACUUAAAAACGCAGCUGGAGAUCAAUGGCCGCAAUAACCUGAUCCAGCAGAAGAACAUGGCCAUGCUGGCCCAGCAGAUGCAGCUGGCCAAUGCCAUGAUGCCCGGAGCCCCGCUGCAGCCCGUGCCAAUGUUUUCUGUUGCACCGAGCUUAGCCACCAACGCAUCAGCCGCCUUCAACCCCUACCUGGGGCCCGUGUCUCCCGGCCUGGUGCCCGCCGAGAUCCUGCCCACGGCCCCGAUGCUGGUGACAGGAAACCCCGGCGUGCCCGUUCCUGCCGCCGCCGCCGCCGCCGCCCAGAAGCUGAUGAGGACAGACAGGCUGGAGGUAUGUCGAGAGUACCAGCGUGGGAACUGCAACAGGGGAGAGAACGACUGCCGGUUCGCUCACCCUGCCGACAGCGCCAUGAUCGACACCAACGACAACACGGUCACCGUCUGCAUGGAUUACAUCAAAGGGAGGUGCUCCCGGGAAAAGUGCAAAUAUUUUCACCCUCCUGCACACCUGCAAGCCAAGAUCAAGGCUGCCCAGUACCAGGUUAACCAAGCUGCAGCUGCCCAAGCAGCAGCGACCGCAGCUGCCAUGGGAAUUCCUCAAGCUGUACUUCCCCCCUUACCAAAGAGGCCUGCGCUUGAAAAAACCAAUGGUGCCACCGCAGUCUUUAACACUGGUAUCUUCCAAUACCAGCAAGCUCUUGCCAACAUGCAGUUGCAGCAGCAUACAGCCUUUCUCCCACCAGUUCCCAUGGUGCACGGUGCUACGCCAGCCACUGUGUCUGCAGCAACAACAUCUGCCACAAGUGUUCCCUUCGCUGCAACAGCCACAGCCAACCAGGCUAAGGAUGUGGCCCUUCAUCUUCCCGGGCUGGUGUGGAAGGUCCUUGCUCUGGUCGACAGCACUGCCCCUGAUGCUGCUCCGCUCGGGUGCCGCAGCCUGUCCUGCAGCAGCAGGAAAACAUGAUACCCAUAAUAUCUGCCGAACAUCUGACUAGCCACAAGUAUGUUACACAGAUGUAGACAUUUGGUCAUCAAACAAUGGUGUCGGCGGCGAGGAGGCCGGAUUUGGGUGGGAAGAGGCCGAGCUCAUUAGCCAUAGCGUAUGUAAAUACUGUCCAGCAGCACUGGGAACCCCUCAGCAGUGACAUCACACAUUGCAUGUUAACGAGACGAAGCGAGACCGUGGGACUCCACUGCACACUGUUGCCUAUCUACUUUGUACAUUGAAUUGAUAUUUGUGCUGAGGUGAUCUUACUGUCCGGGCCUGCAGCAUCGUCCGCCUUUGCCGCGCUGCCGGCGCGCCGGGGCUGCUCCCACAGCCUCGGAAAGACCGACGAUGCUGCAGCCAGAAACCUAUUAUGUAUUGGUACGUCUGUAGACCAAGAUAUAAUUUUUUAAAGUAAGUUUAUUUCUUUCAAGGUUUACAAAUAACAAAGGUGCACCUUGUAUUUAAAAUUGCCAUUAUAGACGAGAGCGUGCAUGCACAGUAAUUUUUGUUUAAGAGUAAUAUUUUUAAUGUAAUAGAUUGUAAGAAAUGAGAAGAGAGGAAUCUGACAGAGAUGAAUGUGCCAAGCAAAACCACAACUGUGUAUAUUUUAAAGCACAUCAAUGGCUUUAAGUACCACGUUGUUAAGGAUUCUCAUGAAGUGCCAUAGACUGUACAUCCAUCAGAGUAUUAUUUCCGCAGUGUUAUUUUCAGAACCACGUUUUCACUGACUUGAUGAGUACUGAUCAGUCAAAGGGCACCAUUCUGUUUCAAACCAAAGCUGUCUCAGAAAUGGCCAAUUGCUCCUCACAGCCAGUGGGCAGCACCAGAGAGAUGCUCCAGCUGUGCACAACCCUUCUGGACAAUAUUAUCUGUAAACUCUCCCAAGGCGUUGUAUGUCAUAUUUAUGCAUAGUUACUGUAUAAGGUGAUCUACAAAGGGAAAAGCCAUUUCUGAGACACAGUAACAAAUGUUUGAGGAACUUCUUUUGCUCUAUUUAUAGCCUCUGUCUCGAGUCACAAGGACUAUAAAUGUUUUGCAGAGAUGGGUUUCACUUUAAUUCAUCAAGUCCCGCGUCCGCGGCGACUCUAAACAAAGACGCAGAAGCACUGACAGCAGAUGCAUGACAAACCAAAAUAGGACAAAUGAGACGUUAAUUAGUGUAGAAAUUGGGUGGGUUAAUACUCGGGUGAGUUUUAUAUGUGAUUUUUCUUUUUUUGUUCAGAUUAACUGCUUAUAGCCUUAGAAAGCCUUUACAAAAUACAAACAAACAAAUAGAUGUGCAUUCAAGUUCUAAGAAUGGAUUCAUCCAAAGGAAUUCCUUUUUGUGGUUUGGAUGUUGCAGCCAGUAAAGGAUAUUUUUGCUCUGUUCAGCCAGGGGCUGCCUGGGGCCAGGCCCCGGGUGGGCAGGGAGGGAGAGGCGCGGGUUCGGUUGUAGAACUCGCCAUACUCCGAGUUUACUGCGAGUUUUUAUGCUUGAGAGAGAUGCUUUAUAGAUAAGAAUGAUGUGUUGAUUUUCCUGAUUGUACUGUACAUCUAUUAAAGCCUUAGAUUAUUACAUUACGGGUUAAAACCCAUACCAAUGUAAUUUCAAUCGUGUUAAGAAAGUAUAGGUGACUUCACAUGUUAUUGUAGUGACUUACCAUAGAGAAUUUACUUAUUUUUUCUUGUUAAAAGUGUAGUUUUUAUUUCUUACAUUUAUUAGCUCGUUUUCAUUUUCUAUUACCAGUUGAUACCAUUUCAGUUCAUAGAAUUUUGUUUUAUUAGAAUUUACUGGUGACUUUUUCAAAAUACAAAAAAAAAAAAAGUAGUUUUCUUCAUAACAUACUCAGUUUGGAAUCUAUAUGUAGUGUCUUAUGAGUAUUCGUAUUAUUGUUAACUAAAUGAUUUCUAUUUUACUGAUCUAAUACAACAAUGUAAGAAUGUCAGUCAUUGUUAGUUCUUGUCUAGUUUUCAUUCAAAGAACAAAGAUCUUUUAUAUGGAUAUCUUAUAAUUAUAUAAUCAUUGCUAAGUAAGAAGUUAAGUUGUUGCUAUGGCAACAAUCCUGGCAGACAAUUGAGUAAUAUUUUGAUGAUUUAUUUUGUUUGUAAUUAGUUAUUAUGAGAAAAAAAAAUCUAGUUCCUAGAUAUUAGAAUAAAAUUUAUUUUCUACUGUAUCCAUUUCAAAUGUUAAAAUAUUGUUUAAAUAUUUUUUGAAAUCCCUGAAUAUCAGGCCUUGUUAUAAAUAAGCUGCAUAAUCAAUAGAUCAAGGGACUUUUUGUUGAUAAUCCAAAUACUCAAAGUUUACGUAACAAGAAUUCUAGUGUGUGUGUGCAAACUCUUGAGGGUUGAUUAUGCUGCAGUUGGGACGUCGAGAGCGAAGGUUGACUUUUUGCACUUCUGUAUAUAGUCAAAAAAGAGAGAAACCUGUAUAAUAGUAAGAUCUUAUUUUGAAUAAAAAUGUCUAUAAUUACAAGGAGUUUUGUUAAGGCUAAAUAAAAUGACAGGCUGAACAAAAUUGCUUGCAAAAGUGGCACAGAGUUAGCACUCCAUCCCCCUUCCAAAAAGUUGCUUUGCUUUAUGUGGACAGCUUGUAGUUUGCCAGGAUUUUUUCAGCUGGAAAGAUCUGCCAUCCUUCCGAGAUCUCAUGACUGACAGAAGCUCCACUGGGUCAAAUCUGCCUGAAAAUCAUUAAGAAACAAAAAAAGGAAAAAAAAAAAAAAAAACCAAAAAAAAAAAAGCAGGUACUUCAGCCCAUCCAGGGAAUCAUGGCUCAGAUAUUCCGUACAUUAUUCAAAAUCUACUGCAUGUUUAAAGUAUCAAAAUAUAUUAAAGAUAUAUGCUAUUCAAACCAGUUUCUGACAAUUUCAGUGGUUUCUUGUUCACAAAAAAAGAUUCUUCAAAACAAAUACUGACAUUCACAGAGUUCAACCAUGGACAGGCAAACGGAACAGCACCCGUAGCUGUAGGUAGGGGAUUCUUUUCUCGCUGUAGUGGUCCUGUUCUUUUAGCAGGUGAGAAACAACCUGGGAGAUCUUCCCUUUUCACGGAAAGCGCUGCAGGAGCCCGGCCAUCCAAAGCUGGGAGCAGGCGUGGGGCUGGGAGCUGACACCAAUCAGUAAUUAAUGAAUUAACGAGCUGCGCUCGGCAGCCCCCGGCUCAUCUGCUGGAAGGACGGGCGCGCUUGGGUUUGCUCUUACGUAACCACAGACUUACUUUGCUUGUAGUUGCUCCAGUUACGUACUCUGUCCUGGGCUGCAAUUUGGGUUUAUGCUUAUUUUAUUAUUACUGCUAUAGUUGACCUUGCUGUAUGGAAAAAAUAAAGUGAAAUUGCCCUAA